rnacentral:rRNA from 1 species
GUAACGGCGAGUGAAGCGGUAAAAGCUCAAAUUUGAAAUCUAGUACCUUCGGUGCUCGAGUUGUAAUUUGUAGAGGGAUACUUUGGGGCCGUUCCUUGUCUAUGUUCCUUGGAACAGGACGUCAUAGAGGGUGAGAAUCCCGUGUGGCGAGGAGUGCGGUUCUAUGUAAAGUGCUCUCGAAGAGUCGAGUUGUUUGGGAAUGCAGCUCUAAGUGGGUGGUAAAUUCCAUCUAAAGCUAAAUAUUGGCGAGAGACCGAUAGCGAACAAGUACAGUGAUGGAAAGAUGAAAAGAACUUUGAAAAGAGAGUGAAAAAGUACGUGAAAUUGUUGAAAGGGAAGGGCAUUUGAUCAGACAUGGUGUUUUGUGCCCUCUGCUCCUUGUGGGUGGGGGAAUCUCGCAGCUCACUGGGCCAACAU